GGCACAGUGGUGCAGUGGGUAGCACUGUUGCCUCACAGCAAGGGUUCGAAUCCAGCCUGGGCCU
rnacentral:tRNA from 1 species